rnacentral:rRNA from 1 species
CGCUGGCGGCGUGCUUAACACAUGCAAGUCGAACGGGGAUAGGUUGGAAAGGCUUCGGCCCGGAAGACUUAAUUCGAGUGGCGGACGGGUGAGUAACGCGUGAGCAACCUGUCCCAGACAGGGGGAUAACACUUGGAAACAGGUGCUAAUACCGCAUAAGACCACGGGGUCACAUGGCUCUGGGGUAAAAGGAGCAAUCCGGUUUGGGGUGGGCUCGCGUCCGAUUAGAUAGUUGGUGAGGUAACGGCCCACCAAGUCGACGAUCGGUAGCCGACCUGAGAGGGUGAUCGGCCACAUUGGAACUGAGAGACGGUCCAAACUCCUACGGGAGGCAGCAGUGGGGAAUAUUGGGCAAUGGGCCGAAAGCCUGACCCAGCAACGCCGCGUGAGUGAAGAAGGCCUUCGGGUUGUAAAGCUCUGUUAUAGGGGACGAAGGAAGUGACGGUACCCUAUAAGGAAGCCCCGGCUAACUACGUGCCAGCCGCGGC